rnacentral:rRNA from 1 species
ACUGCAAGGAUUGACAGAUUGAGAGCUCUUUCUUGAUUCGGUGGGUGGUGGUGCAUGGCCGUUCUUAGUUGGUGGAGCGAUUUGUCUGGUUAAUUCCGAUAACGAACGAGACUCUAGCCUACUAAAUAGUUCGGGGAUCCUCUAUCGAGUCCCCGUCAACUUCUUAGAGGGACAAGUGGCGCUUAGCCACACGAGAUUGAGCAAUAACAGGUCUGUGAUGCCCUUAGAUGUUCGGGGCCGCACAUGCGCUACACUGAAUGGAUCAGCGUGCGUCUCGCCUGACCCGAGAGGGUUGGGAAACCCGUUGAACCCCAUUCGUGCUAGGGAUUGGGGCUUGCAAUUGUUCCCCAUGAACGAGGAAUUCCCAGUAAGCGCGAGUCAUCAGCUCGCGUUGAUUACGUCCC